rnacentral:rRNA from 1 species
AUGGUGAGUCCUUGGUCUCCGUAUUUCGCUGCUGCUUAUCUUCUUAUCCGCCCCGACGCGACACGGGAGGUGCUUUUGAACGCCAUCCGGCAUCCUUACGACCGGGCGCGGGCGCAGGAGGUGCGCGUCGCCUCGGAGGAGCACGAGGCCCACGGCCGAGAGGAGGAGGCGACCGCCGACGCGGGUGCGGGGCGCCGAGCCAGUAAGUCUUGUGUUUAUUUCUUGAGGUUCCGGUCGUGGGACGGCAUGGUUGGUGGUGACGUGAGCCGUCGACGUAGCGGUGCCGGGUGGAGGAGGCGGUGGCACGGCCGGAGCCGGGUCGUCUCGGGGGGCGCCGGCGGCGAGGCAGCCGCACGGCAAGGAUAG